AAAGUACUGUAGAAGGGGGGGUAGAAUUUUCAGGGUGUAAGCGGGUGAAAAUGCGUAGAAGAUCUGAAGGAAUUACCCGGUGGNGAAGGCGGGCCCCCCUGGACAGAUACUGACACUCAGGAUGCGAAAAGCGUGGGGAGCAAACAGGAUUAGAUACCCUGGGUAGUCCACGCCGUAAACGAUGUCUACUUGGAGGUUGUGGNCCUUGAGCCGUGGCUUUCGGAGCUAACGCGUUAAGUAGACCGCCUGGGGAGUACGGUCGCAAGAUUAAAACUCAAAUGAAUUGACGGGGGCCCGCACAAGCGGUGGAGCAUGUGGUUUAAUUCGAUGCAACGCGAAGAACCUUACCUACUCUUGACAUCUACAGAAGCCAGCGGAGACGCAGGUGUGCCUUCGGGAACUGUAAGACAGGUGCUGCAUGGCUGUCGUCAGCUCGUGUUGUGAAAUGUUGGGUUAAGUCCCGCAACGAGCGCAACCCUUAUCCUUGUUUGCCAGCACUUCGGGUGGGAACUCCAGGGAGACUGCCGGUGAUAAACCGGAGGAAGGUGGGGACGACGUCAAGUCAUCAUGGCCCUUACGAGUAGGGCUACACACGUGCUACAAUGGCGCAUACAGAGGGCGGCCAACUUUCGAAAGUGAGCGAAUCCCAAAAAGUGAGUCGUAGUCCGGAUUGGAGUCUACAACUCGACUCCAUGAAGUCGGAAUCGCUAGUAAUCGUGGAUCAGAAUCCCACGGUGAAUACGUUCCCGGCCCUUGUCCACCCCCCCCGUCUCACCAUGGGAGUGGUCUGCAAAAGAAGUGGGUAGUUUAACCUUCGGGAGGACGCUCACCACUUUGUGGUUCAUGACUGGGGUGAAGUCGUAACAAGGUAACCG
rnacentral:rRNA from 1 species